CGUCUCCUGCAGUGUUCGAUACUGGCCUGGAAACCUUUCGACCCUAAAUCUUUACCUCGGGGUCGCGCACUGUCGGCAGCAUUUGUGCAGGACCACGUAAGUGGAGAGCCUGUUGCUACCACGGCUGACCCCACCUGUUGCUCCGGUUCGAGAGCGACGGCUGGUAACGGCACAGGCGGGAGACGU
rnacentral:other from 1 species